AGAGUUUGAUCCUGGCUCAGGAUGAACGCUGGCGGCGUGCCUAAUACAUGCAAGUCGAGCGAACUGAUUAGAAGCUUGCUUCUAUGACGUUAGCGGCGGACGGGUGAGUAACACGUGGGCAACCUGCCUGUAAGACUGGGAUAACUCCGGGAAACCGGGGCUAAUACCGGAUAACUCUUUCCCUCACAUGAGGGAAAGCUGAAAGAUGGUUUCGGCUAUCACUUACAGAUGGGCCCGCGGCGCAUUAGCUAGUUGGUGAGGUAACGGCUCACCAAGGCGACGAUGCGUAGCCGACCUGAGAGGGUGAUCGGCCACACUGGGACUGAGACACGGCCCAGACACCUACGGGAGGCAGCAGUAGGGAAUCCUCCGCAAUGGACGAAAGUCUGACGGAGCAACGCCGCGUGAGUGAUGAAGGUUUUCGGAUCGUAAAACUCUGUUGUCAGGGAAGAACAAGUACCGGAGUAACUGCCGGUACCUUGACGGUACCUGACCAGAAAGCCACGGCUAACUACGUGCCAGCAGCCGCGGUAAUACGUAGGUGGCAAGCGUUGUCCGGAAUUAUUGGGCGUAAAGCGCGCGCAGGCGGUUCCUUAAGUCUGAUGUGAAAGCCCCCG
rnacentral:rRNA from 1 species